rnacentral:rRNA from 1 species
GACGUAGGGCGCGAGCGUUGUCCGGAUUUAUUGGGCGUAAAGAGCUCGUAGGCGGCUUGUCGCGUCGACUGUGAAAACCCGCGGCUCAACCGCGGGCCUGCAUUCGAUACGGGCAGGCUAGAGUUCGGUAGGGGAGACUGGAAUUCCGUGGUGUAGCGGUGAAAUGCGCAGAUAUCAGGAGGAACACCGAUGGCGAAGGCGGCAUCCCUGGACCGGGCAUUGACGCUGAGGAGCGAAAAGCCAGGGUAGGGCGAAACAGGGAUUAGAACCCGUAC